GAUGAACGCUAGCGGCAGGCCUAAUACAUGCAAGACGAACGGUAAGUUGAGUAGCAAUACUUAGCCAAGAGUGUCGUACGGGUGCGUAACACGUAUGCAACCUACCCUAUACAGGAGGAUAGCCUAGGGAAACCUGGAUUAACCCUUCAUAGUAUUAUUGGAUGGCAUCAUUUGAUAAUUAAAACUGAGGUGGUAUAGGAUGGGCAUGCGUCUGAUUAGUUAGUUGGCGGGGUAAUGGCCCACCAAGACGAUGAUCAGUAGGGGUUCUGAGAGGAAGAUCCCCCACACUGGCACUGAGAUACGGGCCAGACUCCUACGGGAGCAGCAGUAGGGAAUAUUGGGUCAAUGGAUGCAAGUCUGAACCAGCCAUGCCGCGUGCAGGAAGAAGGCCCUUUCUGGGGUUGUAAAACUGCUUUUGCCAGGGGAUAAAUUUCCAUGCGUGGAAAACUGAAGGUACCUGGUGAAUAAGCCACGGCUAACUACGUGCCAGCAGCCGCGGUAAU
rnacentral:rRNA from 1 species